rnacentral:lncRNA from 1 species
AGAGAGGCCUCCCAGUUGAAGAAAAAUUCAUCCUGGUCCGGGACUCGAAACAGGGACCGCCGCCUUUCCGGAGCAGCCGCUCUAUCAUCUGAGCUAACCAGACGGCUAGCAGAUAGUAGGGCGAAGUUGAAUUUAACAAAAGCUCUAAGCAAAGGCAAGUGUUUGAUGUAAUAGUUCAGCCGAAACCCGCCA